rnacentral:rRNA from 1 species
GAUUAAUACCGCAUAAGAUUGUAGUAUCGCAUGAUAUAGCAAUUAAAGGAGCAAUUCGCUAUAAGAUGGACCCGCGUCGCAUUAGCUAGUUGGUGAGGUAAUGGCUCACCAAGGCGACGAUGCGUAGCCGACCUGAGAGGGUGAUCGGCCACACUUGGGACUGAGACACGGCCCAGACUCCUACGGGAGGCAGCAUG